rnacentral:lncRNA from 1 species
CCUCUGAAGAAGCCAGGAGGCUAUGCAGAGCCAUGCCCGUCCUCCUGGGGCAGUGGAGAGCAGAGCCUACAGCUGACAUAAUCACAGCCUCAGCACCCAGAGGUUGGAGAGAACACAGGCUCUGAAGAAUAAAGAGCAGCAGCUGGUGACUACAGACUAAGAAACAUCUGGCCAGAAACCAGUUUUGUUCAGACACUUGUCCUUAAGAGCUGCACCUAUUUCCAUCACCUUAAUUCCAGCAGUUUCUGGAACCUGCCAUCUGUGUGUGGUGCAGAAGGAAAGAUGGAGACAAGCCGACAGCAACAGCCUGACAGUGAGUGGUUCUCUCAGAGCCUUCCCUACUUCCUGUACCAACCCCAGUCUGCAAGAUACAGGCUUCAAACGAUGCUGCAGUUAAUUUGGAAGAAUGGCAGGGAGAGAUCUCACCAAAAAAGUUCAAUCAAACCCCAAACCAUCUGUGGCACCCCUAAAAGAGACCAUACAGUGUGUCAGCCCUGUCUCCAACACAUUCCUAGGGAUUUACUAAGCACCUAUUGUUGCAGCCUGGUAUUGAUACAGUGGACUCAGAGAUAAAUCAAACUCAGACUCCGGCAGAAACCUGCUAUGUUCUGGAGGUGCCCAGGACACCUCCUUCUUGGUCAGAUCCAUAGGUACUGUCCCACACCUGGUUUGGAAAUUUGUGGCCCUCAAGUGAAGCAUUAUCCUCUAUGUAAGUUUAUGUAUACUUAAACUUUUAAGUAUAGGGACAUAUGCAGAUAAAUAUUUCGAAUGCUUAUCAAAUACUAGGCUUCCACAUGGCUUUUUCAAACAUCUUUAGUAUUAUUUAUCUGCCCUUCCCACCCACCCAUCCAACCCCCAUUUAGACCUUUCCCCUCUUUUUGCC